GAUGAACGCUGGCGGCGUGCCUAAUACAUGCAAGUCGAGCGAACAGACGAGGAGCUUGCUCCUCUGACGUUAGCGGCGGACGGGUGAGUAGCACGUGGAUAACCUACCUAUAAGACUGGGAUAACUUCGGGAAACCGGAGCUAAUACCGGAUAAUAUAUUGAACCGCAUGGUUCAAUAGUGAAAGACGGUUUUGCUGUCACUUAUAGAUGGAUCCGCGCCGCAUUAGCUAGUUGGUAAGGUAACGGCUUACCAAGGCAACGAUGCGUAGCCGACCUGAGAGGGUGAUCGGCCACACUGGAACUGAGACACGGUCCAGACUCCUACGGGAGGCAGCAGUAGGGAAUCUUCCGCAAUGGGCGAAAGCCUGACGGAGCAACGCCGCGUGAGUGAUGAAGGUCUUCGGAUCGUAAAACUCUGUUAUUAGUGAAGAACAAAUGUGUAAGUAACUAUGCACGUCUUGACGGUACCUAAUCAGAAAGCCACGGCUAACUACGUG
rnacentral:rRNA from 1 species